UACGUAGGUGGCAAGCGUUGUCCGGAAUUAUUGGGCGUAAAGCGCGCGCAGGCGGUCCUUUAAGUCUGAUGUGAAAGCCCACGGCUCAACCGUGGAGGGUCAUUGGAAACUGGGGGACUUGAGUGCAGAAGAGGAGAGUGGAAUUCCACGUGUAGCGGUGAAAUGCGUAGAGAUGUGGAGGAACACCAGUGGCGAAGGCGACUCUCUGGUCUGUAACUGACGCUGAGGCGCGAAAGCGUGGGGAGCAAACAG
rnacentral:rRNA from 1 species